rnacentral:rRNA from 1 species
UAGGGAAUCUUCGGCAAUGGGGGGAACCCUGACCGAGCAACGCCGCGUGAGUGAAGAAGGUUUUCGGAUCGUAAAGCUCUGUUGUUAGAGAAGAACAGCGCAUAGAGUAACUGUUAUGCGUGUGACGGUAUCUAACCAGAAAGCCACGGCUAACUACGUGCCAGCAGCCGCGGUAAUACGUAGGUGGCAAGCGUUGUCCGGAUUUAUUGGGCGUAAAGCGAGCGCAGGCGGUCAAUUAAGUCAGAUGUGAAAGCCCCCGGCUCAACCGGGGAGGGUCAUUGGAAACUGGUUGACUUGAGUGCAGAAGAGGAGAGUGGAAUUCCAUGUGUAGCGGUGAAAUGCGUAGAUAUAUGGAGGAACACCAGUGGCGAAGGCGACUCUCUGGUCUGUAACUGACGCUGAGGCUCGAAAGCGUGGGUAGCAAACAGG